AGAACACAUGGGGAAACUGAGGAUCAAGAAAAAUGAAAGGUCCAUCAAAGAUCAAACUAUAGUGGGUGACAAACCCAGGAUUUCACCCAGGUGCAUGCUCCCCAAGGUGCCCUAAACACAGCCAGAGUCUUGUUUUCUGGGUGCUUAAUAGAUGCCUGUUGAAUUGAGACUGAAUUUCCAAUUUAAAGUCAACUCUUUAAUCAUAGAAUCUCUUAAACCUACAAGAAACUUAAAAGAAUAAAUCAUUUAACCAUAACAGUUAGGAAGGCCAAGACAGAGAGGUCAACGGACUUCUCCAAGACCUCAGAGCAGGGAGGCCAGCCCCCAGGCCUCCCACCUCCCAUCACACCACCCCUCCCGGGUUCAGGGGUGCUCUUCUGCUCCCGCUGCAUGGCACGUCUCCCCUCUCUCUAGCCCGUGACACUGGCGAUCACUCUUCUCUCACCAAAUCUACCCUCCCUGGGCCUUCAAGACGCCGCUGGCCCCUGGUCUUCCUCCUGCUUCACUGUCAGCUCCCUCCAGUCACCUACCUGGGCAGCUCCUUCUCUACCCAUGAGUCUCAAAUGCCCCUUUGAAGUCUUCAAGAUGGGUUUGGUGAGCAUCCAGGCCCAAACCCCACCCCUCCUGGGUUGUCAUUCCAUCCCCGCCAGCAGCCCAUCCCUCUAGCGUGUUAAGUCCACAGAUCCCAUACUCUGAAACCCUCCCCAGAGCCAGCUGCUCACCUCCCACAGCCUCCUCUCUUCCAAAGUCACACCCUUCUACCGGAAGAGGGGAUGGAAACGCAGCAUGAGCCCUCAGUCCUUCUAUGUCCUAUUCAAACCGUCCAGGUCUGUGGAGACACCUUCCAGUCCUGCCUGAUCAGACACAGCUGACUUCACACCUCAAGGGGAGGGGUCACCAAUCCUCCACAACCCUACCUCCAGGGAGCCCUCCAGGAUACCGCCUACCUUCCAGAUAGUGCCUGUGGACAUCCUUCUGUUGGAGGAGAUCUGUUCAGCCAGGUAGAUGAAACCACUCUUGGAUGCACCGUUGUUUGCUCUGAUUUGCCAGUUUGAGGCCCCUGGACUCCCGCCAUGUCACCAAAGCCCUGCGCCUCCCAUCACUGGUUAAACGGCCAAGACCUUCCCACACAAGAGCCUCUUGAUUCUUGCCUAAGGACUUUGCUUUACACUUUUACAAAACAGUAAAUGCUGUUAACAUUUAUUAAACAACGUA
rnacentral:lncRNA from 1 species